AACAAGGCGUACCUGCGGACCUGCGGAAGGAUCAUUACACAAUAAACAUAUGAAGGCUGCACCGCCAACAGGCGGCAAGGCUGGAGUAUUUUAUUACCCUUGUCUUUUGCGCACUUGUUGUUUCCUGGGCGGGUUCGCCCGCCUCCAGGACCACAUGAUAAACCUUUUUUAUGCAGUUGCAAUCAGCGUCAGUACAACAAAUGUAAAUCAUUUACAACUUUUAACAAUGGAUCUCAGAUC
rnacentral:misc_RNA from 1 species